UUUUGUCCUCAGAUUGGGGCCACAUCUCUUCCAUAGAAGGGAGAAGAACAUAGUCCUGUCGAGAGCAGAAAGAACCUCUUCCAACUGGCCGUCUGAAGACUCACCUAUCCUCACUCAUCCUGUGACAGGAAGUCAGGGAGAGGCCAGAAGACAUACUUUACAUGGACAUUUAAGGAGGCUUAGACAACUUUGAAAGCUUCUGUUGGUGAA
rnacentral:lncRNA from 1 species